rnacentral:rRNA from 1 species
CACGUAGGAGGCAAACGUUAUCCGGAUUUACUGGGCGUAAAGCGCGUGUAGGUGGUUCUGUAAGUAGGGCGUGAAAGCUCCUGGCUCAACUGGGAGAGGCCGUUCUAAACUGCAGAGCUAGAGGAUGGUAGAGGGAGGUGGAAUUCCAGGUGUAGCGGUGGAAUGCGCAGAUAUCUGGAGGAACACCAGUGGCGAAGGCGGCCUCCUGGACCAUUCCUGACACUCAGACGCGAAAGCUAGGGUAGCAAACGGGAUUAGAUACCCCUGUAGU